AUUGUUUACCUAAUCCGUGUAAACAUGGAAACUGUAGAAACAGCCAUACUGGAUUCACGUGCAAAUGUUAUUCAGGAUACACUGGUACAGCAUGUCAAACGGACUGUAGUCGGCAUACUUGCGGUAGAAAUGGCGUUUGUAAAAACAGUCUAACUGGUUUCACGUGUGCAUGUUAUACAGGGUACACAGGUUCAAGAUGUCAGACAGACUGUCAACCAGACCCUUGUCAUGGCCAUGGCGUCUGCAAAAACAGUCUGACUGGUUAUACAUGUACAUGUAACACAGGCUAUAUAGGAUCAGGAUGUCAGAAGGGUUAGGACAAUUUUAAUGC